UACGUAGGGACCGAGCGUUGUCCGGAAUCAUUGGGCGUAAAGAGCGUGUAGGCGGCUUGGAAGGUCAGCUGUGAAAACUCGAGGCUCAACCUCGAGACGUCGGUUGAAACCACCUGGCUAGAGUCCGGAAGAGGAGAGUGGAAUUCCCGGUGUAGCGGUGAAAUGCGCAGAUAUCGGGAGGAACACCAGUGGCGAAGGCGGCUUCCUGGACCGGUUCUGACACUGAGGAGCGAAAGCGUGGGGAGCGAUCCGG
rnacentral:rRNA from 1 species